ensembl:lncRNA
AUACAAUUUCCCCUCUUAACCAAUGGAGGGUGGGAGAAGCUUUAACAUCUGAAGUACUUUGUGUCCCCGUUUAGAAGAGGCAGUGCAUGCUAACAGCCAUUUAGUUUCCUGAAAUUGCUGCAGGAUACAAAGAUACGUCAUAUAUCCCAUCUGACAGCAUCAGCACAAAGGCACACAAUAUCUGCCAGGGCUCUUUGUUAAAUACUAUAUUGUCCUAGUGACUCAGUGCACUGGAAUGCAUCGGAUUUAGCCAUAGCCUUUCUAAUACAGUCUUUAGAUUAGGCACAAAUUUCUGCCUUUUAGAAAAAAAAAAAUAUAUCUAUGGCUUAUCAUUAUGUGGAGCACACAAAAUUCCUGGCCUCUUUUCCAGGGUGAUAAACACAGCACUGAAACAAAAGGCCUGGGCCCCAAACCAAAUGGCUCUUUCAAGCUUCUAACAAGUCGGGUUUCAAGAACACUGAAGAGAGGAAAACCCAGAUGUGCACCACGACCAGAAGUUCUUGUCAGAAGGAGAGAGGGCAGAAGAGCAGUGAAGAUGGUCAAAGUCACUGAACAUCGUCUGUAGUGAGGACAGCUGAAUCAGCCUUGGAUCUUUCAGUCUGGAAUACUAGAGUACAAUACCAAACUGCCCUCACUUUGCGUUCUUAACUGCUGUUGUGAGCAGACAGAGGGCAAGCAUCCACAGUGAGCCCACUGCUUGCACAGGAAGCAUCAACCACAUCCAUUUACAGCAAGGGCCCUGCAAUACAGCCUCCCCCAACGUGUAGCUUUCCUGCCAAGUCACGAAGCCUCAUGUGAUGCUUGAAGAGAAGCUUCCUAAUAUUCCAACCCCGGCCCAGUUAUUUAGACAUUCAGUGCACAGUCUUGGGAAACAAUGACUUGUUAAGGACUUCUUUGAAACAGUUUCUUUUCCCAUUCCAAUCUAUGGCAAUCAAAGACAGAGCUUGUUUCCAACAUCUCCUCUGCUCCAUCCCUCUGCCAUCUCCUACUGAUCUGAAUUCAUAUACGCAGACUUCUUGCUUUAAUCACAAUCUUCUGCCCUUCGAAGGGACUCCAGGCCUCAAAUCCUUGUCUCCUACUUCUGUUCAUCAGGCCCGCAAAAGCAUACCUGGUUCUGAAGGUCAGUGCUGAGCCUGCCACACACAGCAUCGGCUGAAAUAAGUGUUCUGCAGGCCAAAUUAUGCCUUGGGGAAGCCUAUGCAGCCGUGUGGGCCUCCUGCAGAUUGCACAGCUGUCAGGCUACAGCUUACAGUACUCUCCCUAAGAUACGCAAGGAGAAAGAGAAUUCAAUGAUAUUGACUUAUUCUAGCUACUGAAGUCAGCGGACCUGACUCUAAACACACUUGGGAUUAGACCUGUCGAUUAUGACCAUGGGGCAGCACUGUCCAGUAGCAGCAUCAUUUGUUCUUCACAUGACCUCUCUGUUACUUUCAGUUUUAGCAUUCCUCACGGCGUUUGUUGCAGCAGCCAUUGUGCCAGCUGAGCAGGGAGACCCCACUGUGUUUGGCACACUACAAAAGGUGCCAAAGGUAGAAAGACUGUCCUGAAUUCAGAAGCAAACAGCUAAAUUAACGGUGCAUUAGGUAGGAACAGAUCAUCUGAACCAAGGACAUCAGGCAUGUCUCAUGAUACUUGCCAGAGGUGAGAAGAUAAGAAGACACACAUAAGAUAGCUUCUUUUUCCCCUUCUUGCAUAGAAGCACAAGCAUUAUCUGCCCUGCUCCCAGGACGUUUUUAAACCAACCUGCUAACACAUUCCAGUUUCCAAGCACACAAUUUCCCCUUGUCUUUUGUUUAUGAACACCUUCGGUUCUAAAAUUCAUCAUCCCAUGCUAUCCUUAGGAGAGUGGCCUGCUAGGGUUGUUACAGUGAAAUUAAUUGUGCAGUGGUCUCAGCCAUCGCAGCUCCCACACUCACCUGCUGGGUCUGUGCCUGCAUUUUACAUCCAAAAGCUGAGAGUCAGCUUGCAGAUACCUACAGUAGGCAGUUAACUAUUUUCAGCCUGGCUGUGCACCAGAUGGCCCAACAUGUUCCAGUUAACCAGUAUAUAUUAACUGACGUCCCUCACAGUAACAAGUUUAACAAUAUUUGUAGACACUUCAUAAAGCAUAGGCUCGUUAUUACAGUCCAUUAGUGUGCAUGCAAGAUAUUUUAACGUGUAAAAAGUCCCCAUGAAAUAAGAAUUUUCUCCUUUACUUUCAGGAAAAAAAAAAAGCCAUCCUUGCCACAUACUAGGCAACGCUUUCCAGUGCUUUCUUCAUACCCUUUCCAUCCCAUAAGUCAAGUCAAACCUCAUUUAACCGAUAUCACAGCAUGCCUCUAAGAGUCACCCCUGCAUGUGAGCAGGUUCCUCAUCCUCCCUCCUCCUCGAGUUCAGCAAGGCUGGAACAGAGCAGGUGAACUCUUGCUCUCCUGACCCCAGGGCCUCUUCUGCUCUGCAGCACAGGAAACCACACAUGACACAUUAUUCAAUUAUGUGGCAACGCCUUCAGCAUAGAUUUCCCUGCAGCCUCAAACAGGUACAAGGCACAACCAUAUUGGUUCUUUGUUCUGCUGGAAAGUGCACACCACUGGAAGUGGACUACAGGCAGAAUGCAGCACUUCGGAUAAAAGGAGCUAGAACCAUCAACUUCCAUUUCUCCCAAAACCAAACAAGUUAAGCCAAAGGAGUUCGUGUUUCUAUGGUAGUGUUGCCCAAAUAAGCAGAGUUAGAGCUCCUCUCUAGUGAAGUCAACCUGAUGACACAAGACAGCAUCACAACAGUAGGCACUAUAGAAAGUCUCAUCCUAGAAAUGUAAGGGUACUUACUGGAAAAGGUGAUCAAACAGAGUCUGUCUCUCCUCUGUAGCCAGCUGUCCACUCAUUCACCUGGAUCCUAUCAGAGAGGAAAAAAGGCUCUAAGUAUAGACAAAGCGACAGACCCAAGAAGUAGGCCAGCCGAGGGAAGUCAGACAGACCCUCCUCAACACUGAGGUUGAGAACUAAGAAUGCUGACAAAGCUCAGAGCACUGCUGCAAUGCCUGAAAUCUCCUACGGCACUGCUUGCCCCCAGAGGCUCUCAGCAAGGCUCGAUCUGAUCAAAAUGUAAGGGAGUGGCACCAAUAGCUACAAAAAUCAGGUGCUACAGAGAACCACAUCUGUUUCUGAGACACACUGACCACCAAAAGCACCAUUACAGUGUGCUCUGCCUAUUACAUGGGGAAACAAGAACUCCCUUUGCAAGAUGCAGCCUGGAAGGAAUAUAAGGGCUGUGGAUCCAGCACACACUGAGGAGUGCCUUUAACAGACACAGUGGUUCAACAAAUGGUACCCCUGUAACAGGAAACCACUCAACUUUUGCUUAACCCUGUUUUGAUUAAGCAAAAGAUUACCCAUGGAGUGGCAUUAUGAUGCAAAGAAAAGCAAAAUGCAUCACUAGCCAUACACUUUAAUACACAUCACGCACAGAACAACUGUGCUUCAGAGGGACAUUAAAUCCACAUUCAAUUAAUAGAGACCCCUCUUAGGAUGGGCAUUAAAUAAUUCCCUACCAUGCACACAGAUAACUGUCCACUUCACAAAAAUGGAAUAGGAACCUCCUCAUAUCCCUGCCAAUAAAAUCUCCAUCAAAACUUGCCCUUAAAACAACAAGGGGUCAGUGAGGAGGGAUGAGGGGCAGGAGAGCCACUAUUGUGUGCUUAUAUUAAAGACUCCUCAUCAGAAAAUUACUCCAAAUGGAUGUUUUUCAUGUUUAUCAAUAACAGAGCUAAUGGUUUUUAUGUAAAUGCCAUUACUCUCAGUCAGAUCUGCACAGGACUCACCCCCAUCUCCCCUCGUGAGCGACUCCCCUUCAGGCAGCCAAUCUAAAUGCAAAUUAUAAUCAAAUGGCAAAACCAGGAGUUUUCCGGAUGAGACCAAAAAUCUAAAAUUAAGGACAAAGCGUACUUAUUUUGAGAGAACAUCCCUCCUUGUCGUUAAUACACAACACCCGCUGGGCUCACACCGCUUCUUCAACCCAAACAUACAUCAAAAUUCAAGCCUAACUUGAUUCUCCUUUGCAGCCCUACUGUUUACCUAUAGAGCAAAGAGCAGCAUUUGCGGGGGGAAGUGACUCUCCUUGGCACAGAGCUGGAAGAAGGAGGUGGUGCUGCGGGAUGGGUAUUCAGAGGCAGAGAUUUAGAGCUGCUGCCAGCAUGAGGAGUGCCUCUCUCACGGCAUAAAAGCUUUUCAGAAGAGCACUUAAAUCACAGCCCCCACCUGGAAGAUACACAAAACAGAGCGCUUCGUCGGCACUGAUUACAAUAACGCACUAAUGACAAAUUUGGUAAUAAAUAACAUCAAAAACGGCGCUGUUUAUUAAGCAGAACGCACAGAAGAGAAACUAAUGACUAAAACAAAGGCCAGAAACCUAACAACGUAACUACUGCACAGGUCUGUGAGGGAGCCCAGAGGGGACUGGCUCCCCGGCUGCAGAACACCAAAGCUCCCAUUCCCCAGAGAUGGACACGUCCUCAGAGGGAGGCAGCCAAUUAGCGAUGGCUACAGACGUGCUCGUUACACGGGCUUAGCGCUUUGUAUGUUUUGGAAGAGCAUAUCACAGGAAUAUUCAGAGCAGAACUUGGCUAAUUAACAUUAAUAACUGAGAGACCGCUUCGGCAAACAGCUGGAUUUUGUGGAUUAGGCAGCGAGCGGACACACAGUGCUGGGGAGCAGAGAGAGAAUGCAGCUCAGCGGGCACCUGGCUGCUGCCUCAGUGUUGCAGUUAAUGAUUUAUCCUUGGGCCUCAAUGUCCAUGAACGAAUGAAUGCGCAGUCUGUAAAUAAAGCACCUCAGCCUGAGCACGGCCUGGCUACAGCUGACUGCUGGGGUAUGACUGCUCGUCAAAAGAGGUAUUACAUUCAAAACCACAGCCCUGCCUGCCUUCCCCCAGAAGCUUCUCAUGAAGACUGGCAUCUCUGAAAUCUCAGUCAACUCUUCUUUUUCCACAGCUGCUUUGACAUAGCUCGUGGUUAAACAAUUACUCACAGACCCAUUGCUUUCGGCACUAAAAUAAGACACAGACUUUCAGUCCUCCAUCACAGCACGGAGCUGCAAAGGAUCCGUCCUCCUCUUCCUCCAAAGCCACGGUGAAGCAGCACAGCUACGUAACCCAUCUUUGGCAAAAGGAGCCCCAGCUUACAGCCCAUCACCACAUCAAGGCCCAUUUAGAAUCAUCACAGAAUUGAGUUAGAAAGAACACUUAAAAGCCACCCGGUCCCACUCCCUGCAAUGAGAAGGGACAGCUCAGAGCCCAUCCAGCCUGACCUUGGCUGUCUGCAGGGAACAAGGCACCCACCACCUCCACGGGCAACCUGUGCCAGUGCCUCACUAUCCUAAUUGUAAAAAUCUUCCUUAAAUCCAACCUAAAUCUCCUCUAUUUUAGUUUGAAACCAUUUCCCCUUGCCCUGUCACAACAAAUCCAGAUAAAGAGUCUGUCCCUUCCUUCCUUACGGCCCUCUUUUAGGUACUGAAAGGCCACUCUCAGGUAUGUCUGCAGCCUUCUCUUCUCCAGGCUGCACAGUCCCAGCUCUCUCAGCCUCUCCUCAUACGAGAGGUGUCCCAUUCCAUCAAUUAUUUUUGCGGCCCUUCUCUGGAUACACUCCCAAUGGGUCCACGUCUCUCCUGUACUGAGGACUCCACAUGUGGAUGCAGUGCUCCAGGUGAGGCCUCACCAGAACAGUACAGAAAGGCAGGAUCCCCCCCUUGCCUUGCUGGCCACACUACUUUGGAUGCAGCCCAGGAUACAGUUGGCAUUCAGGACAGAGAGGGCACAGUGCUGGCUCAUGUCCAGCUGCCAUCCAUCGUUACCCCCAGGACCUUUUCACCAGGGCUGCGCUCUAUUCUUACAUCCCCAGCCUGUAUUGAUAGCGGGGGCCGCUGUGACUUCAGGUGCAGACUCUACACUUGGCUUUGUUGAACCUCAGGAGGUUGUCGCAGGCCUACUGUGAGCUGUGGGGGAAGAGAAAAAAUAGGAAAAAAACCAAAAAGGGAAGGAGCCCUUCUGAAACAAGUGCAUCUCAUUCACACACCUCAGCGCUGCAGAUCACAGCCCAACCCUGCAACAGAUGUCCUGGUGAAAGCAGCAGCACUGCGAAGCAAACAGGCGUUCAGGCACGGCGACUCAGGGAAUGCUGCUCCAGGAACGUGGUGCAUCGGGGACAGUGCUGCUCAGCCACCCGAGAUUUCACGCACAGCCACCACCAUAAUCUGAUUUCACAGGCAUCUCCUGACUUCAGCUGUCAAACCACAACCGCAGCCCAUUUGCUGCAGCAGCGCGCUUGAAAACCAGAGCUGUUCCUGGAGCAGAGCCAUUUCCUCCCAGAAAUUAAAGGUUCAAAAAUCAGAGAAUCUCACCCCAACCCGUGGACUCGCUGCUUCCCUUUGCAAGAGUUCAGGUUUACUCACACCAAAAGGGUCCGGGCAGCAGAGCCUUUUCUUGCUGCCUUUUGUGUGAGGCUUCACGCUACAAUAAAUGGGUGGAAAUGCAAAGCAGAAGUUCACACAAAGAGAAACCAGUGUGCGAGGUGGUUUCUUCUGAAAAAGAGAAGGAGCAGGAAUGACUUACUGCCUCAUUAAGGAGCCCCAGGCUGCAUUUUUAUUAGAUAUAUUUAGAUGCCAGUGGUAAAAAACCAAACAAAAGUUAAAAAAAAAAAGAAGGGGGAGCACCUGUGUUCUUAACGUAUGGCCUGGGUAAGUCACAGGGCUACAAACUAAACCACAGCAGAUGCUCCAAAUGCAAGUGUGGAAUGUUAAUGGUGUACGUGAGGACUCAGAAAAUCACCAUCAAUCUGCACAAAGGUGAAAGGAUUCCGCUGCUGCAGGACUGUGACUUUUCCCCACGCUCUCACGCAGCAAAUGCCUGUUCAUGUCACAGCCCACAGUUACUCCUGUGUUCCUCUUUGUGUUUUCAUACCUCAUUACAGCUUGUAAGCUGCUCAGUGCAAUGAAAAGGCAAGUCAGUGGAAGAUUUACUAUCUCGGUGGUAAAACUGAGCCCGUGCCCCAGCUGUCAGCCUCCCCACCACCGCCUCCUAUGGCACUGUGCAUGAUCCCAUGCACCCCCUGCUGUGGCCUCCACCCUGCAAGCAACCUGCAGCUCCGAAGGAAGGCUCAGUUCAUAGAACAUCCUGAGCUGGAAGGGACCCGUAAGGAUCACCCCGUCCAAUUCUUAGUUCAAAACAUCUUUCCUAUGUACAUAUCCCACAUAUGUAUAUGUCCGUGUAUAUAAGUAUAUAUACUCUGGCCUGCACAGUGCACAACUUUCUAGUAAUGUAAAUGCCAUCUCCCCGGCUCAAUGGGGAUGAUAACUUAUGGCUAAUCCUGUACGCUGGCACUGAACAAAGCAAGGCGGCACACCCAGAGCCAGCAUACCUCCCAACCACUAAACACACAUUUCUGUGCUCUACGUGGGCAGCAACUGCUGUCCAGAACGUUUUAAGAGCAGAAACCACACUGCCUGAUGCGAGAGGAAAAAAAAUAAACCAAACCCAAAUACAUUCUUCCUCCUCUUCAAAGCCAGAGCAUAAGAAACAAGCAACGUAAUUAUUCCCACACAAGGGGAAGGAAAAUAAACCCAAAGAACACACACACGAGGAAAGCAACAAGCCUCAAAAAACUGCAUUUUCAAAAUAGUUCAAGGGCUUCUGCGCAGGGCCGUAGCCUCACAGCAGGAGUCAGGAAGAGCAGAAACUACAGAGAACCAUCUUCAGGGCUGCUGCACCCCGCAGAGCCCCCAGCACAGUCUCCCCUGCGUGCUGGAUCAUUCCCUGCCUCCUCCCCCACUCCAGCGCUGGUUGGUUCAGCAGAACUCCCGGCCCAGCAUCCAGCAGCGAGGCCAGCUGUGAAGGGUGCUGGCUCUGUGUCUGUCCCCUGCUGGGGACCCACCAGUGCCUGCCCUGGGCAGCACCCAGAUGCCAGCACCAAGUGGGAAGGAGUGGGUGCCCUAAGUGCUGCACAUUCUUUGGUGCCAACGUGGCACAGCUUUUUCCUCCCGGAGCAGCCUCAAAGCCAAAGGCAUCAGUUGCAGCUGUCCCAUCACCUGCCCGGAGACACCCAGACACCAGACGUGUGCCAAGAGGAGGCUUUCACUGCACCUGUACCAACAUGAGGGCUCCUCAGCAAAUCCUCCAAAUCCUCCAAGGCUGCAGCAAACAAACCUCUGGCAGGACAGAAGCAAGCUCUCAUCCCGAUGUUUCCUCCAGGGAGCGGAAGCACGACUCAGACACAAUCACUCGCUGCUGACAAGUAAAAGCACUUCAAGGAAGGCUUUUUUCCCCCUCCCUUCACUUUGUUUUAAAUGGCUGAAGAAUUUCCUCUGAAUGCUUCCAAUUGCAGCUCACGCAGAGUUAUUUUUGAAAGCAGAGAACCAGAUUUCUGAGACACUGAAUGAGGAAAUGCAAAGCUUUUAUUAAGCAAUAAUAGCCCAGACAAUGGUCACAAUUUCCCAAGGGUCUGAACACCACAGCUGACAAUAAGCUUGAUUCCUAUACAAAACCCCCCUUGCAGGCUCAGAGGGUUUGCUUUGUAUGGUCUCAGCUCUAGUUGGAGAGUUAAAACAUUUGCAGCGUGAUUUCCUCCAGUAACAUCUGACCAGAGAUACAAAAAUCACAGGGAAAAGCCCUUCAUGUUGUCCCCUUCUUCUUUGUGAUAGUAUAACAAGCCCUUUUCCAAGCUUGCAACAGAGACAUCUCCCCAUCCAGCUGGAUCAUUCCAAACUGGUCCAUCUUUCCAGGAUCAAGAGAGUGGGGAAAAAACCCUUCAACUUCCUCAAAGCAAUCGGUAUCACCAUACCGUGACUCUCCUUCAAAUGGGAAGAAAUGGGCCACAAAGCCCCACCUGCCACCACAGAGCAUAACUGGAUCCGGCGAUCACAUCACCUCUUUGUUAUUUCAAAAGGGAGGAAGCUGCAGCUCAGAGGAGCUCACACAGCCUCUCGAGCUUCCCAUUCUGGCCUUGUGCAUGCCACUUCUCAUUCAGUGAGAUGUGGUUGGCCAUGAACAAUUGCUGCUGCAUGUGAACGAGCUGAUCUGGCUCUCUGUAGCUGGCAAAAGAAGCAGGCACUUCUAGGGCACAUAAAACUUGAUUGGUUCAAGAUGUCUACUUAGGACAAGAUGAAUUGUCCUGCACAAACGGCUGCUUUUCUCCACUGACUAUAAAGCAGACCUCAGGGAAAGAAAAGAAACAGCUUAGCUACAGACAGCUACAUCUGUACAAAAGACCUAAAUGCCUCCCAUUCAAAUGCUGUCCUCAUCUUAAAUAGUAAAGAAACUAAUACCCUAAGUUCAUUAGCUCUUCAAACCAAGCCCAGCCUGCAGGAGCAUUCCUACUCCAUCAUUCUCUCCCUCCUCUCCCUUGUCCCAGGGAAAGUGUGGCAUACCUGCACAGCAUACCAUGGUUACAUUUAAGCUUUCCUAUCAGGCAAGUUGAUUUCAACACAGUCAUUUACCGAUCAAGCUGACCACACAGCCAGGAUAGAGAGCCCACAGCACCUCUUUUCUCCUACUUGCUCCAUCUUAAAGGGAUUGCGAAAACAUUUCCUAACCUUCUGUAUACCUGUCUGUAAUCAAGAGAGCCUGGUUACAGCCAAAAGAGGGCAAAAGAAGAAAGUAAGCGGUUCAACAUCCUGCAUAAGCCUCUGCACCACUGCAUCUGCUGGUGCGCUCUCACCAGAGCAGCCACCACAAGCCGCAGAUGUGAGGAACACAUGCUUGUUGCCUUCCUCUGCCCUGCAACUGCUCAGUCCUGAUCCUCUCACACACAGCACUUGGGAGUAGCAGCAUCCUCUGCAUGCAGAGGACGGUUACUCUUUUAUUACUCCCCUCCAAAGACCCUUGCUCUGGAGCACAGGCUGUGCUUUACCUCCCUAUGGCGGUUCAGCAUAGGCUGGAACCAUUUGUCAGUGCCCUUCCUCGGCAGCAUCGUGCUUGGUGCAGUCAGUUCCACACACUGCCUCGAGAACGGGGAGCCGGGACACAGGGAGCAGUGCCAAGGACGCCCUGCCUGCAUAUACAGAUGCAGUAUAGCAGCUCUGCAUUGGCCUAUGGAGGAUCCAAGCCCUUAUCUCAAAGAGCACGUGCCAAGGAGAGCUUAUUUUUGGAUGAGAGGUAAUGGCCCUAAGUUGUGCCAGGGGUUGGAUAUUAGGAAAUAUUUCUCCUCCAAAAGAGCAGUACUGCAGUGGCACAGCUGCCCAGGGAGGUGGUGGGGUCACUGUCCCUGGAGGUGCUCCAGAACUGUGGGGAUGUGGCACUGAGGGAUGCGGGCAGUGGGCACGGUGGGGUGGGCUGGGGUUGGACUGAAUGACCUUGGAGAUCUUUUCCAACCUCCCUGAUUCUGUGAUUCUAUUUCAUGUCCUUUAAAAAGGCACAGCUUUCAAAUAGAGUGGUGACUGACCAUUUUGGAAAGAUUCAGGAUUGCACUGUACUGAGCCAUCUAAGACCUUUACAGUAAUUUGAUAAACAUUUUAGCAUAGAAUGCAUUUGCUGCAUUAUGUUUGCUCUCUGAACUACAGAGGAUCAAUUGUAGGCAUAAAGCUUCCCUAAUGCUGGAAGCCACAACAGAGACGACACCACCCGGAACAAAACUGCAUUGAAAAGCUGUGGGGUUCAAAGAGAAUAGGAAGAAAUAACCAAACAUGCAGCAGCUCAUCAUUUCACACAAUCAUUAAGGUUGGAAAAGACCUGUAUGAUCGUCUAGUUCAACCAUCCACCUACCACCAAUAUUGCCCAUGUAUCCAUGUCCCUAAGUACUACAUCUCCAUGUUUCUUGAACACCUGCAGGGAUCAGGGAAUUCACCACCUCCCUGGCAGCCUGUUCCAAUGCCUGACAACUCUUUGCUCCUCAUGUCCAAUCUGAACCUCCCCUGUUGCAAUUUGAGGCCACUCCUGAGCCUCCUCCAGACUGAACCAUCCCUGUUCCCUCAGUCACUCCCCAUAACAUUUGUGCUCCAGACACUUCACAGAUCUAUUGCCCUUCUCUGAACACCAAAGAUGCUUCACUGUCUUUCCUAUAGUGAGGGCCUCAACACUGAACACAACACUCAAGGUGAGGCCCCACCAGAGCUGAGUACAGGGGAUGAUCACCUCCCUUCUCCUACUGGCUGCACUACUUCUGAUACAACCCUAGAUGCCAUUUGCCUCCCUGUCUACCUGGGCACACUGCUGGCUCAUGUCCAGCCGAGCGUCAACUAACACCUUCAGAUCCUGUUCCUCCCUGCAGCUUUCCAGCCACUCUGCCCCAAGUCUGCAGCAUUACACGUGGUUGUUGUGACCAAAGUGCAGGACCUGUCAUUUGGUCUUGAACUUCGUGCCACUGGCCUCAGCCGAACUUUGGGGCUGUGACCAGCCACAGGCUGGAUUUCACUCCUUUCUUGACCACACUGUGGGCCCUGCCCUCAAGCCAGUUUUUACCCAGCAGAGUAUGCCUGUCCAAAUCAUGGGCUGCCAAGCUUCCACCAGAUUCAGAGUCCUAAAGCUGCAUCUUUUUCACGUUGAGUCCCAAAACUCGCUUAUGCCAACAACAGAUCCCUUGGAGAUGACUCCAAGAGACCAACCUGCCAGGAGGCUGAAGGCCAGGUUCCACCAUAGCUCCGAAACAUGAGGGAAAUUGAGCGUUUUGGCUUCAGUUCUGCCAGCGGCUCAUUCGCAUCUCCACUUCUUCAGCUGCUUGGAUGCACCAGUACUUCAUCACGUUACUGCAGCAUCUCAAACAUGUGGAGCUGUCCAUGCAACCUCAGCCCAAGGGCAGGAGAGGCCUUGGUGCCCUUCUGGAUUCUCUUAUCUUCACAGAAGGCAAAGCUUCCACAGAAGAAAUGAAACCAGCAGAUACCUGCACUGUGCCUGCUGAUCUACACAGAAAUCCUAGCCAGUCUCUUGUUUUUUAGAUCUCCUUUUCAGCAGAUUAAGAAAGAUUAUCCCAGGGGUAUGGCAACCAACCAGAGUGCAGGAGAUCAUUUCAAGACAUCUGUAAUAGCACGCAAUUAACAGCCUCUCCUCAAUUUUGUCUCCUGGCCUCAUUCAUUAAGAAGAUGUUUUUUUUAAUCACGCUUACACAACACCUUUAACUAGCAACCCCUCUACUUCCAUUACUGCCACUGCAGGCCUCAGGCUCCUCUUUCCUCCCCUUGAAAUAGAUUCAAAGCAACAUCUUCAUUUCCACUCCUGCUCAUCCACAUUGAAACUGCCUAUACGCACAUGCAAAACAAGCACAAAUUACACCAUUAACUUCAGCUUAGUCAGCUCACACCACAGACUAAGUCAAUAUUUGACAGAUAUUUAGCAAGGACGAGAAUUUAUUUAAAUUCAGCACAUCGUGCCCACAAGAGCGGAUUUAGCAGAGGAUGAGAGACAACAGGACACGCUGCUUGGGAUUUGGAGGACAAAAACUUGCCACUUCGUAACCACAGAAUUCUUUCAACUGGAUACCUCCUGUUGUCACAAAAAGGAGGUGAGGGAAAAGCAGGAUCUGAGCUCAGUCCAAACCUUGUGAGGAACAACCAGCUUUCCUGGGGGCAACGUUGUGCGUGAGUGAGGACGUCCCAUCUUUCAGAGAAGAGGGGUUGCUAAGGCAAUCCACCUAAAGGCCUGUCAUCUGUACCAGCCCACAACUUCAACACAUCCCAUUAAUGCCAGCUGUAGGGCAGCUGAGUUCGUACACAGCCUUGGUUUUCAACAGAAACCAGGAAAAAAAUAAGAAACUGUUGACUGCAAGACAGUCCCCUUCCACAAUUUUUAGAAGCUUCUAAAACCCAGUGGUCCAAAACAAGCACAUCCCAGCAGACGUCGAUGCUGAGAGUCAGCCACAUCUCUCCACAGAUGCCAUCGCUCCCAAUGAUUGUUUUCCAGAGCACGAGCUCCAGUCCAAGCACAGCGUCAGCGCAGUUCUGAGCUUUGUGCCAGCACGGGCCAGAAGAAUAAAGACUGCUGAAACCACCCAGCAUGCCAAAUGGGUUUAACAACAUAUCAAAGAAAUAGGUUUAACCCAAAUUGUGUCAGUUUUCAUAUGAAUAAGAUCAACAUACAUCCCUUUUCAACGUAAAAAUGUAGAUAAAACAGAACCAAGAGCAAAUUCUUCCCCUCCUCUGUGGUUAAAGACCAAUACAAAAGCUUCUGGAUCCCUCUAACCCUGUUACAUGUGCUAGUUCUUCCUGCUGGCUGGCAAAGUUUUUACUUACAUGAGCCCUUGGGAGCAGUGCCAAAACCGAAGAGUAAAAGGAACAGGUCAGUGAAAAAUCCCAACAAACAGAGCAUCACAGGGAGACAGGAAUCAAAAUUAAUCAUUUUUUUGAUCAAAUCUCCUUCUCUGCACUACCAAGGCAGAGCUGCCACCAGCAGAGAAGGCUGCACACUGCAAACAAAGCUAUGUGUGUGUGAACUAAAUGUUCCCUGCAUUGUACUUAACAGUCUGAGAGAGGAGUCCAAACACCAAGUAAAUAAACAGGCAAUAGGCCCAGGCCCCUGACAAAGCAGGGAAAGGAAAAAGCAGGGAGAAGGACAGAUGUAAGCACAGGAACAAAGCUGAACAAAAGAUAAUGUAACAGGUUUGGUUUUCUGUGCUGUUUGUUAGCAGCUUCAUUUGGAAAACAACCCACGUGCUUGCAGAUCCUCUCCAACUGUCCCUCCACUGCUCUCAACUUAGGAAGUCAGUGGCCAUUUCAACUGUAGGCAGAGGAGGUUGAAGUUUCCUGUAUCUUCUGCACAAACAGAAACUGCUCAACAAUGGCCAGCCAGAGACCUAAAUUAAUACACUUAUAAAUGGCAACGGAGUUUAAUAUCUGUCCCGGAGGCAUUCAAGGCCAGGCUGGAUGUGGCUCUGGGCAGCCUGAUUUGGUGGUUGGUGACGUGCACAUAGCAGGGGGAUUGAAACCAGAUGAUCAUUGUGGUCCUUUUCAACCCAGGCCGUUCUGUGAUUCUAUGAUUUCUAUUUGCCUGUCUGUCCACAUGCAGCCUCCCACCCAGCACUGCUGCGGGCAGCUUACCUCACUUGGCAAAAAAAAUGCACCCACAAAACCAAAAGAAACCUAGAAGUAGUAGUGCUGCAGUUCAGGUAGCUUUGUGCCCCAUCACCGUGUAAAAAUUAAAAAGAUAUAAAAGGAUAUAGCAACUAAUGAGCAGAAUUUUUCUUGCACCUGUAGAUGUACUGCAGCUGGAAAAGCUGAAGGAAAUCACACUGACAGCAGUGGACACACACAUCCGUAUCAUGCAUUUGAAAGCACAAAGAACAAAGCUCUGCUGAAUGUGGGAAUUGGAAAGCCUGACAGAUUUAACCCAGGUUAUCCCGUGGCAAAUUAGCUACUGUUGAAACACAAGGCAUUACAUCAUCUAUUUGCAAGGAUUUUUUUUUUUCCAAGCUAAAUUAUUGUGUUCACAGCUUAAAAAAUAU